AGCAGCCGCGGUAAUUCCAGCUCCAAUAGCGUAUAUUAAAGUUGUUGCAGUUAAAAAGCUCGUAGUUGAAUUUCGGGAUCAAUAUGUUGGUCGUGCCUCGGUACGUACUAGCUUAUUGGUUUCUCCUUUCUGAAGAACCAUGAUGUCAUUUAUUUGGUGUCGUGGGGAAUCAGGACUGUUACUUUGAAAAAAUUAGAGUGUUUAAAGCAGGCUCACGCUUGAAUACAUUAGCAUGGAAUAAUGAAAUAGGACGUUUGAUUCUAUUUUGUUGGUUUCUAGGAUCGACGUAAUGAUUAAUAGGGAUAGUUGGGGGCAUUAGUAUUCAAUUGUCAGAGGUGAAAUUCUUGGAUUUAUUGAAGACUAACUACUGCGAAAGCAUUUGCCAAGGAUGUUUUCAUUAAUCAAGAACGAAAGUUAGGGGAUCGAAGACGAUCAGAUACCGUCGUAGUCUUAACCAUAAACUAUGCCGACUAGGAAUCGGAUGAUGU
rnacentral:rRNA from 1 species